UUUUGAAAGGCUAUUAUUCUUGUUCCUCCUAAUUAUAGCGUCCUCUUUUGCUCAGAAAAAAAUUAUAAAUUGAUUUGAUUCGGUUAAUUUAGGAGGGAAAAGAAAAAAAGAACCCCUUUUCUGUGGUCUCCGAAUUCUCGGGAGGCAGAUCAUGUAGGUGAAAUAACAAUCCAUGGAUUGGGGAUCAGAAGAAAAUCGGAUGCUCCAUUCAAAAUCACAGUCGGUGCUGGAUUCACAUCACGAUGUCCAUAUGUUAACGCGGCAUUUAUGGUCCCAGGCAGAGAGCAAGAUGAGGAUGUUAUUCACUGUUUCUUUGGGGAAGGAGGACCGAGGACGGACCACAGCUUUCUUAGUACGAGAGUGAUGUGAACUGUUAAGGCCGAAUUGUGAUCUGUUUUUUUGGAUCGUGUGUGAAGGUGCUCUCCGCGGCACAUUUCCACCCACUCUCAAUAUGGCACGCCAGGUGGCAUGCCUGUCCACUCUUCUGUGAUAUUACGCGCUGUAUCUCAAUCACCAAUUCUGCUAUGAGAUUUCAUACAGUUCUGCUACUUUCAGAUGGGAAUGUCUUUUAAGCUAUGACAUUUCAUACAGUUCUACUAAUCUCAAUAAGAAGUCGUUAAUCAUCUUGUUAUCAA